GACGAACGCUGGCGGCAUGCCUAAUACAUGCAAGUCGAACGCUGAAGCACUCUGCUUGCAGAGUGCGGAUGAGUGGCGAACGGGUGAGUAACACGUGGGAAAUCUGCCUAUAAGAGGGGGAUAACAUUCGGAAACGGAUGCUAAUACCGCAUAUAUUCUUGGACCGCCUGGUCCUUGAAAGAAAGACGGCUUUGCUGUCGCUUAUAGAUGAUCCCGCGGCGUAUUAGUUAGUUGGUGGGGUAAAGGCCUACCAAGACAAUGAUACGUAGCCGACCUGAGAGGGUGCUCGGCCACACUGGGACUGAGACACGGCCCAGACUCCUACGGGAGGCAGCAGUAGGGAAUCUUCCACAAUGGGCGAAAGCCUGAUGGAGCAAUGCCGCGUGAAUGAAGAAGGUCUUCGGAUCGUAAAGUUCUGUUAUUAGAGAAGAACAAGUCAAGGAGUAACUGUCUUGACUUUGACGGUACCUAACCAGAAAGUCACGGCUAACUACGUG
rnacentral:rRNA from 1 species